UCGAGAAUCAUUCGCAAUGGGCGAAAGCCUGACGAUGCGACGCCGUGUGAGCGAAGAAGGCCUUAGGGUCGUAAAGCUCUUUCGCCUGGGAACAAGAGAGGCUGGUUAACACCCAGCUGAUUUGAGGGUACUAGGUAAAGAAGCACCGGCUAACUCCGUGCCAGCAGCUGCGGUAAUACGGAGGGUGCAAGCAUUAAUCGGAUUUAUUGGGCGUAAAGGGCGCGUAGGCGGAAAGACAAGUCAGAUGUGAAAUCCUGGGGCUCAACCUCAGAACUGCAUUUGAAACUAUCUUUCUAGAGGGUAGGAGGAGAAAACGGAAUUCCACAAGUAGCGGUGAAAUGCGUAGAUAUGUGGAAGAACACCGGUGGCGAAGGCGGUUUUCUAUCUUAUUCCUGACGCUGAGGCGCGAAAGCAAGGGGAUCAAACAGGAUUAGAUACCCGCGUAGUCC
rnacentral:rRNA from 1 species